GGGGAAUUUUGGACAAUGGGGGAAACCCUGAUCCAGCCAUCCCGCGUGUGCGAUGAAGGCCUUCGGGUUGUAAAGCACUUUUGGCAGGAAAGAAACGUCAUGGGUUAAUACCCCGUGAAACUGACGGUACCUGCAGAAUAAGCACCGGCUAACUACGUGCCAGCAGCCGCGGUAAUACGUAGGGUGCAAGCGUUAAUCGGAAUUACUGGGCGUAAAGCGUGCGCAGGCGGUUCGGAAAGAAAGAUGUGAAAUCCCAGAGCUCAACUUUGGAACUGCAUUUUUAACUACCGGGCUAGAGUGUGUCAGAGGGAGGUGGAAUUCCGCGUGUAGCAGUGAAAUGCGUAGAUAUGCGGAGGAACACCGAUGGCGAAGGCAGCCUCCUGGGAUAACACUGACGCUCAUGCACGAAAGCGUGGGGAGCAAACAGG
rnacentral:rRNA from 1 species